ensembl:snRNA U6 U6 spliceosomal RNA
UUGCUUUGGGAGCACAUAUACUAAACUAGAGCAACACGGAGAAGAUUAGCACGGCCUCUGCACAAGGAUGACACGCAAAUUCGUGAUGUGUUCUAUAUUUAA